AGUGAACGCUGGCGGUAUGCCUAACACAUGCAAGUCGAACGGCAGCACAGUAAGAGCUUGCUCUUACGGGUGGCGAGUGGCGGACGGUUGAGGAAUACAUCGGAAUCUACUUUUUCGUGGGGGAUAACGUAGGGAAACUUACUCUAAUACCGCAUACGACCUACGGGUGAGAGCAGGGGAUCUUCUGACCUUUCGGGAGUGAAAGAGCCGAUGUCGGAUUAGCUAGUUGGCGGGGUAAAGGGCCACCAAGGCGACGAUCCGUAGCUGGUCUGAGAGGAUGAUCAGCCACACUGGAACUGAGACACGGUCCAGACUCCUACGGGAGGCAGCAGUGGGGAAUAUUGGACAAUGGGCGCAAGCCUGAUCCAGCCAUACCGCGUGGGUGAAGAAGGCCUUCGGGUUGUAAAGCCCUUUUGUUGGGAAAGAAAAGCAGCAGGUUAAUACCCCGCUGUUCUGACGGUACCCAAAGAAUAAGCACCGGCUAACUUCGUG
rnacentral:rRNA from 1 species